CUGUGUAUGGCAGGGGGCGGAGGCAGGGAGAAGGAGUGAGAGAGUGCUCUGGUGUCUCUUCUAAUAAAGACACCAAUCCUAUUGGAUCAGUGUUGCACCCUUACAAUCUCAUUUAAACUUAAUUACUUCCAUAUAAGUCUCAUCUCCAAAUACAGCCACACUGAGGGUUAAGGAUUCUACAUAUGAAUUUUGAGAGGCAAAAACUCUCAGUCUACAACACUAGUUUUUUUUUUUUUUUUUAAUUUUGUAGAUUGUUCUUUUGGUGUCCUAUUUAAAAAAUUAUUUCCUAACCCAAGGUCACAAAAGUUUCCUUCUGUAUUUUAUUGUUUUAGAUUUUACAUUUAGGUCUAUGAUCCAUUUUGAUUUAAUUUUCAUAUCUCUGUGAGCCUUGCUCAACUCAAAUAUGGGUUCUAAGAGUGAUUUUGAAGGUUCUACCAGAUUUUCUACAUAGACGAUCAUGUUAUCUAUUCUCUAUACAGGCUGACCCCUAUGGCCUACUAAGAAUGAAUAAUUAAAACUCUAGGAAUCCCAGGGUUUGUUGGAGUUCAGGGUUGUCGCUGAGUGGUGGAAAUAUUGUUCUCAACCAAAAAAAAAAAAAAAAAUGUGGGGAUUACAUGCCAGUACCAUCCACCCCUGCAUUAGAAGUUUUCAUCGAAGAGCUUCAUUUCACAAGGUCUUUGAUGGAACAACAGAAGAGACAGGGCUCAUCUGACUGAUCCAAGGAGCAAGGACACCCAGGACUUAUCUUUAGAUCUCACCUCACCUGCCUGAGCAAGCCAGUGAGAAUGGGAUGUAAGGAGUCAGCUCUAGAGGUCUAAAGAAUCAUCUAACAGGGAAAGCUGAAUGUAUGGACAUUCUGCGGUCUUCUGCCACCCAGAAGUACAGGGCAAGAUGUCCAGAAUGUGGAUCCUAUCUCUGACCUUAUCCCAUUUUUUCAGUUAUUCUCAGCAGUCACUUUUUUGCUUGUAAGUAUAGAGACGCUCACCUUACUCAUAAUACAAUCUAAAGAUCUUCCAUGACCUCUCUGACCUGCAGGAUCUCCCUCUAAUGCCUCUCUUACCCUUCCCUUCUCUUGAGCUUUGCUUGACAUUCCUGGUAUCUCUGCCAAGGCCACUCUCCUCCCUGAGUACUGCUUGGCUCACUCCUUCAUUUAACUUUCACUUUGACUCAAGUUACCAUGUUUUCAGAGAUAUUUACAUAUACUUCACAAGUAUUCCUACUUAUGAUGGUUUUUUGUGUAUCAACUUGACAGGGCAAAGGGAUGUCUAGAUAGCUGGUAAAACAUUGUUUCUGGUUAUGUUUGUGAGAGUGUUUCUGGAAGACGUUAGCAUUUGAAUGACUAGACAGAGCACAGAAGAUCCACCUUCACCAAUGUGGGUGACCAUCAUCUAAUCCCUUGAGGGCUAGAAUAGGACGACGACAACAACAACAACAACAAAAGAAACCACAGCAAAUUUACUCUUUCUGUUUGACUCGGACACUCUGUCUCCUCCAGCUUGGGGACACUGGUGCUCCUGGUUCUCAGGCCUUUGAAGCCAAACCAGCAGGGUUUACAACAUUAGCUCCCCUGGUUUUUGGACCUUUGGACUUAGGCUGAAUUAUGGCAGUGGCUUUCCUGGUUCUCCACUUGGGGAUGGCAGAUCAUGGGACUUCUUGGCCUCCAUAAUUAAGUGAGCCAAUUCCCAAGCUGAAGAAUAAAAUUCAAUAGAAA
rnacentral:lncRNA from 1 species